rnacentral:hammerhead_ribozyme from 1 species
ACUAGCUGACGAGUCCCAAAUAGGACGAAAUGUACAUUAUCCUGGAU